rnacentral:rRNA from 1 species
GACGAACCGUGCGAACGUUGUUCGGAAUCACUGGGCUUAAAGGGCGCGUAGGCGGGCUGCCGAGUCCGGGGUGAAAUCCUCCCGCUCAACGGGAGAACGGCCCCGGGGUACUGGCGGCCUCGAGGCGGGUAGGGGCGUGCGGAACGACUGGGUGGAGCGGUGAAAUGCGUUGAUAUCCAGUGGAACUCCGGGUGGCGAAGGCGGCACGGCUGGACCCGU